rnacentral:rRNA from 1 species
CCUACGGGUGGCAGCAGUGAGGAAUAUUGGUCAAUGGGCGAGAGCCUGAACCAGCCAAGUCGCGUGAGGGAAGACGGUCCUAUGGAUUGUAAACCUCUUUUGUCGGGGAGCAAAAAGGCCUCGUGAGGCCACAAGUGAGAGUACCCGAAGAAAAAGCAUCGGCGAACUCCGUGCCAGCAGCCGCGGUAAUACGGAGGAUGCGAGCGUUAUCCGGAUUUAUUGGGUUUAAAGGGAGCGUAGGCGGGGAUGCAAGUUGGGUGUCAAAACUACCGGCUCAACUGGUAGUCGCACUCAAAACUGCAGCUAUUGAGUGAAGUAGAGGCAGGCGGAAUUCCUAGUGUAGCGGUGAAAUGCGUAGAUAUUAGGAGGAACACCAGUGGCGAAGGCGGCCUGCUGGGCUUUUACUGACGCGGAGGCUCGAAAGUGUGGGGAGCAAACAGGAUUAGAUACCCUUGUAGUC